AGUUAAUUAAAUUUAGAAACUACUAUAAAUACCUCAGCCUAGUUAAGGAGAAUGUUUUCACAAAAAUGUAAAACAAGGAGAGGUUCUGGUUAAUGGGAAUUUGAGAAGAAGGCUGAUAACUAGAUGUAAUAUUCGGAAGGAUGGGUCUGAUUAUACCUGAUAAUUACAAAAAAAAUAUUUGAAGCUAAGGACUCCAGUAAAGGUAAAUAUGGCACAACUCAAGAGAACCGCCUGGAAACGGGUUUUGGCAAGGAAAAGAAAAAGGCACAUCACCUGAGCUGAAGCUGCUAGGCAACGUUGUUUGGUGGUAUAAACUACAGUUAUUAUAAUAGUCUGUAAUCAGACUUGCUGUCAUGUAAUAAAGUUAGACUUGGUAAUAGUGUUGUAGGUGAUCGACCCUGGAUUUGUGGGGCGAGAGUUGGUUUGUAUAACAUUAAAAUGUAAUGCAAGUAUUGUUUUGAGCCA